rnacentral:rRNA from 1 species
AGAACGAACGCUGGCGGCAUGCCUAAUACAUGCAAGUCGAACGAAGGCUUCGGCCUUAGUGGCGCACGGGUGCGUAACGCGUGGGAAUCUGCCCCUUGGUUCGGAAUAACAGUUGGAAACGACUGCUAAUACCGGAUGAUGACGAAAGUCCAAAGAUUUAUCGCCAAGGGAUGAGCCCGCGUAGGAUUAGCUAGUUGGUGAGGUAAAGGCUCACCAAGGCGACGAUCCUUAGCUGGUCUGAGAGGAUGAUCAGCCACACUGGGACUGAGACACGGCCCAGACCUCCGUACGGGAGGCAGCAGGUAGGGAAUAUGGACAAGUGGGACGAAAGCCUGAUCCAGCAAUGCCGCGUGAGUGAUGGAAGGUCCUUAGGGUUAGUAAAGUCUUCGUUUUACCCGAGAUGAUAA